CGGGACCUCAGGUCAGGCGGGGCUACCCG
rnacentral:rRNA from 4 species